rnacentral:rRNA from 1 species
AGCUCCAAUAAUGUAUAUUAAAAUUGUUGCGGCUGAAAAGCUCGUAGUUGGAUUUCUGGCGAGGACGAGCGGUCCGCCCUCUGGGUGAGUAUCUGGCUCGGCCUGGGCAGCUUCUUGGAGAACGUAUCUGCACUUGACUGUGUGGUGCGGUAUCCAGGACUUUUACUUUGAGGGAAUUAGCGUGUUUCAAGCAGGCAUACGCCUUGAAUACAUUAGCAUGGAAUAAUAAGAUAAGACCUCGGUUCUAUUUUGUUGGUUUCGAGAGCUGAGGUAAUGAUUGAUAGGGAUAGUUGGGGGCACUCAGUCGUAUUUAUUUGUCAGAGGUGGAAUUCUUGGAUUUGUUAAAGACGUAUUACUGCGAAAGCAUUUGCCAAGGAUGUUUUCA